rnacentral:rRNA from 1 species
AGGAACGCUGGCGGCGUGGAUUAGGCAUGCAAGUCGAACGGUAUCAUCCUUUCGGGGGUGAGAGAGUGGCGAACUGGUGAGUAACACGUAGGUUAUCUACCCUCAAGACGGGGACAACCCAGGGAAACUUGGGCUAAUACCGGAUGUGAGCAACUUUUAGUUGUUUGAAAGGUGGCGUAAGCUGUCGCUUGGGGAUGAGCCUGCGUCCUAUUAGUUAGUUGGUGAGGUAACGGCUCACCUAGGCAAUGAUAGGUAGGCGGCCUUAACGGGUGGUCGCCCACACUGGGAUUGAGAUACGGCCCAGACUCCUACGGGAGGCAGCAGUCGAGAAUAGUCUACAAUGGUCGGAAGACUGAUAGUGCGACGCCGCGUGAACGAUGAAUCCCUUCGGGGUGUAAAGUUCUUUUAUAUGUGAGCAGUGCUUUCUAUGUGAACAGCAUGGGGAGAGAGAUAUUAGCAUAUGAAUAAGCAACGGCUAACUCCGUG